GUGAUAAGGUGUUUACAAUCUCGACAUCUCAUUGGUAAGAUUCACACCCAUUACUGAAGCCGUAUAAAGGAGUCGCUGCAAAACUGCUGCUGAGAAUAAGAAUAAGCACAGCCAACCGAGCGCUUAAACUGUCCAAGAGAAUCACAGGAGAAGACUGCCUGAAAAUGGACGCACAAAACAAGGACAAGAAGCCAAAGGACUUUGCUGACUGCGACAAGGGCAAAGGAGAGCACAAGAUAAAGGACAAGGUUGAGUGUAAAGGACAGGAGCAGAAAGGACAAGGACAAGGACAAGGACAAGCGCACGGGCAUGGACAAGGACAAGGACAAGGAGGUGGACGAGGACGAGGUAAACCCUAAUUCCAGCUUCAGCUCGUCAGAAAGCGAUGGGGAAGGAAAGCCUAAAGCUGGACUCAAGGAACAGAAGGACAAGGAAGAAAAGAAAAGGAUGCAAAGCAAGGCUACCCCUUUCAGCGCAUAGCUUAAUCCAGCCGCGUGUAGACCUGCAAAAACAGCACUUUGCAGUCUUGAAUUGAAACCGUUCUGCAACACUUGAGUCAUUUGUGUGCCGUCAUUGCUUGUUUUUCUUUUUUGAGCUUGUUAAUUUGUUAUUGUUGUCCUCCUAGUUUGUGGUUUCCACCCCACGCUUGAUUUCUGGUUUGUAAUUGGUUACUCUAAUAAAGACCACGUCACGGGAACCAUUUA